CGCUCAGUAACACGUGGAUAACCUACCCUUAGGACCGGAAUAACCCCGGGAAACUGGGGAUAAUACCGGAUAAGCCAUAGACGCUGGAAUGCCCUAUGGUUCAAAGCUCCGGCGCCUAAGGAUGGAUCUGCGGUCUAUCAGGUUGUAGUGGGUGUAACGUACCUACUAGCCGACGACGGAUACGGGUUGUGAGAGCAAGAGCCCGGAGAUGGAUUCUGAGACACGAAUCCAGGCCCUACGGGGUGCAGCAGGCGCGAACACUUUACAAUGCGGGGAACCGCGAUAAGGGAACCCCGAGUGCCAGCAUCAAAUGUUGGCUGUCCGGAUGAUUAAAAAUCAUUUGUUAGCAAGGGCCGGGCAAGACCGGUGCCAGCCGCCGCGGUAACACCGGCGGCCCGAGUGGUAGCCGUUUUUAUUGGGUCUAAAGGGUCCGUAGCCGGCUUGAUAAGUCCUUUGGGAAAUCUGGCAGCUUAACUGUCAGGCUUCUAAGGGAUACUGUCAGGCUUGGGACCGGAAGAGGUAAGGGGUACUCCAGGGGUAGGAGUGAAAUCUUGUAAUCCCUGGGGGACCAUCUGUGGCGAAGGCGCCUUACCAGAACGGGUCCGACGGUGAGGGACGAAAGCUAGGGGAGCAAACCGGAUUAGAUACCCGGGUAGUCCUAGCUGUAAACGAUGCUCGCUAGGUGUCAAACACGGUGCGACCGUGUUUGGUGCCGCAGGGAAGCCGUUAAGCGAGCCACCUGGGAAGUACGGUCGCAAGGCUGAAACUUAAAGGAAUUGGCGGGGGAGCACUACAACGGGUGGAGCCUGCGGUUU
rnacentral:rRNA from 1 species